CCGUGCCAGGAGCCGUGAGAGGUCAGGGGCGGGGGAAGGCCCGGGAGGAGGAGGAUAAAGCGGACACCUGGCCGGACGUGGGCGCGAGGUCAGCGGCUUGGGAUAGGGCUGCCGCGCGUGGGUUUGGGUCUCCUCCAGACCCAUCCUUGUUUACAAGUCUUAAGCUGGUGCCAAGUCACGCAUUCCGCACCAGAAACUAGUUCCAAGAAUCUGGGCUCCGGGAGCUCACUGGUCGGUGCUCAGAACGGGGCUUUUACAGUAGCCAGUUGGCUCGGUUCAAAAGUAUGCGCUUCUUUGCCGUUUGGCGGCUGAGGGAGGAAACAUCCCAAAGAGUUCUCCUGGAGUCUCUCCAGGGACUAACGGCACGGGGCAGGAACUGGAAGUUCCGUUCGUUGAGACUUCAGGCACUUCUCAAAUCCAUGAAGCAAAGAAACAUGUUCAAGAAGCCAAGAAACUAAAUAAGAUUCUCUCUGAUGAAGCAAGUAAAUUUUAAGAUUCCCUCUAUUGCCUUCUUGGCCUGCACACUUUGAAGCAAGCUGCCAUGUUGGAGAGGCCCCACAUGGCAAGGAACUGAGGAUGGCCUUCGGCCAACAGCCAGCUAGGAAUUGAAUCCUUCAGUCCAGAAGCCCAUGAGAAAUUGAGUUCUGCAAAUAACCAUGUAAGCUUGGAAGCAGAUCUUUCUCCAGUUAAACCUUCAGGGCAAUCCUAGGCACUCCAGCAUCUUUCCAACUGGAUGUGACUUGCUGAAGAGUUGUGGCCUGCAGAAGGGGCCUCCUCCACCAUGGUCUCCAGCUCAAAGGGACCUUGGAAGAUAAAGGACAAAGGAGGUCCUUCCAGAGCAUGGAACCAGGGCAGCCAGAUGGGUGAAGGAGCUCCGUUUGCCUCCAGGUCAAGGUUACCUUGCUUUCCUGUUCUGCAUGUCUUGCAUGCGUUACGGGUCAGGAGGAACCACAUCAGGAUCUGACCAAGAAGAAUGCACAUCACCCAGAAGCUAGAUGACUCAUCGUGUGGCCUCCCUCUGGGAAGGGGGUGAAUGCAGUUUUAGCAGCAUGUAAUUAUGACUUCACCUGGAAUCACUAUCAAGUUUGAGUCUGACCUUUCUUCAUCUUCAGAACGUAAAGGUUCUUCUGAAUCUAUAUUGGUCUCAUGUAUUUAUACACACCAUCACAUUUUUAGUGUGAUAUACUCCUGUACGUGUGUAAGAUUAAAUCAAAAUAGUAUUUGAGAUUAAGAA